CAUGUAGGCGGCUUAAUAAGUCGAGCGUGAAAAUGCGGGGCUCAACCCCGUAUGGCGCUGGAAACUGUUAGGCUUGAGUGCAGGAGAGGAAAGGGGAAUUCCCAGUGUAGCGGUGAAGUGCGUAGAUAUUGGGAGGAACACCAGCGGCGAAGGCGCCUUUCUGGACUGUGUCUGACGCUGAGAUGCGAAAGCCAGGGUAGCAACG
rnacentral:rRNA from 1 species